UUUUGUUUAGUUUUUUUAUAUUGUAACUGUAAUUGUGUUGGCACACCUGAAACCCCCCAAAACCCAAAGCCGGAAAUAAAAAAAAAUAAAAGAUACCCCCAAAAAACAGUAGCAGAAGCCGGCAGCAACAGUAUCCGUAUCCCACAUCCGCAUAUCCGCCACACACCGUGCAUUGUCCGCGUUUCGCAGCCCCGCAUUUUCGUCUCUACUGUACGAGAGCGUGUCCGUGGCACGGUGGUGGCGGGUGGGGGUAAAAUGGCGGCCGCGGUGGGUGAGGAAGUGACGUACGGAUCGAUAGGGCCCGCCGCUCGAUUGGUCCGCGCCGUGACGGGGGCGGCGCCCGCCACGGGCCCCGCACAGCUUUACUGUAUCACUGAUUUCGCCCGCCGCGUACUCUAUUCUUGCGCCGGAAAAACCGAAUUCCCUCUUUUCGCUCUGUUUUGUUUUGUGGAUUUUUUUCGGCUAUUUUUAGUCGCGAAUUUUAUUUUGGCAGGUUGGUAUUUGCCAAAGCUGAAAUGAAUAAAACGUAAACUGUGCUAAAAGGGGUGGUUUUUUGGUGGACAUUGAGGGCUCCUUAAGAAAAAACAACAUUAACUUAGACACUUUCGUUACACGCUCAGUUGCGCCAUUUUAUUUUUAUCAGUUCCACCAACUUAAACAUAGUUAUUAAGAUCAUUCCCUACAAGCUCCUUACACUGUUAACAAGAAAGUAAGAUAAAAACAAAACUGUAAACUGAAAAAAUUAUUAAAACAAUUUAAAAUAAAAAGUUAUUACGUU